AUUCAGCUGAUGAGUUCUAAAUAGGACGAAAAAUACAUCCUGGAU
rnacentral:hammerhead_ribozyme from 1 species